rnacentral:rRNA from 1 species
UACGUAGGGUGCAAGCGUUGUUCGGAAUUACUGGGCGUAAAGGGCGCGUAGGCGGCCUACUAAGUCGGACGUGAAAUCCCUCGGCUCAACCGAGGAACUGCGUCCGAUACUGGCAGGCUGGAAUCCGGGAGAGGGAUGUGGAAUUCCAGGUGUAGCGGUGAAAUGCGUAGAUAUCUGGAGGAACACCGGUGGCGAAGGCGGCAUCCUGGACCGGUAUUGACGCUGAGGCGCGAAAGCUAGGGGAGCAAACGGG